rnacentral:sRNA from 1 species
CGCCAUCAACGUGGCCGCUGACGGCCCAGC